rnacentral:rRNA from 1 species
UGGGGAAUUUUGGACAAUGGGCGCAAGCCUGAUCCAGCCAUGCCGCGUGCGGGAAGAAGGCCUUCGGGUUGUAAACCGCUUUUGUCAGGGAAGAAAUCUUCUGAGUUAAUACCUCGGGAGGAUGACGGUACCUGAAGAAUAAGCACCGGCUAACUACGUGCCAGCAGCCGCGGUAAUACGUAGGGUGCAAGCGUUAAUCGGAAUACUGGGCGUAAAGCGUGCGCAGGCGGUUUUGUAAGACAGAGGUGAAAUCCCCGGGCUCAACCUGGGAACUGCCUUUGUGACUGCAAGGCUUGAGUGCGGCAGAGGGGGGAUGGAAUUCCGCGUGUAGCAGUGAAAUGCGUAGAUAUGCGGAGGAACACCGAUGGCGAAGGCAAUCCCCUGGGGCCUGCACUGACGCUCAUGCACGAAAGCGUGGGG